CGUCGCCUGUCAUCGAUUCGAAUGUUGCUUAAAAUGUCAUAAAUUUUCCAAAACAUUUUAUUUUUUUGUUAAGAUCAAGAUUAAGCAGCAUAACGCUAAAGCGUUUAGGCCAGGUUAAAUUGAACAGUCUUGAACAUGGCAAUCAACACUUUGGCUGCUGCACAAAAUUUGCAUAAAUGGCAUAUCAAUUAAGCCAAACACUUUGGCAAGUGUCAAGCUGUUUUGCGACUGGCUACCGUAAAUGGCGGGGCAGAAGCAUCAAGUUAGCCAAGUUGAAACAAAUUUCACAACCGGCCAGGCCAGCGGGCAGUAAAUAACCGACAAUAAAUCACUUUAAACAAAUGCUGACGAAAAAAAAGUAAAACAAAAACCAAUUUGUAAAAUAGUAAGCGACAAACUGCAGAAAUCGCAGUUGAUGCUGAAGCUGAUGUUGAUGCAAUUGCAAAUUUAAACAAGUUGUAAAUUUGUGACAUAAAAAAAAACACACACAACCAAAAAUGUGACACGAAAAACAC